rnacentral:misc_RNA from 1 species
AAAGAAGCUGCUUUGUGAUGGUGAUCCAUCUGUUAUGCUGGUGAAUUGCAAUAGUGUAUGGAGGUGACUAUGAAGAUAAGCGGGUACGAUGGAGUUCUCUAUGCAUUUGCAAUGGUGAUGGUCUAUUAUGAUGGUGUGUGGUCUAAUAUUGGCGAAACUGGUGAGGGUGAUGAACACUGUGGAGGAGGCGGGCUGGGGAUUACAA